GAUGAACGCUAGCGGCAGGCCUAAUACAUGCAAGUCGAACGGUGUCUUCGGACAUAGUGGCGCACGGGUGCGUAACACGUAUGCAACCUACCUUACAUUGGGGGAUAGCCUUUCGAAAGGGAGAUUAAUACCGCUUAAGACAGUAGCUGGGCAUCCAGCAGCUGUUAAAGAUUUAUCGAUGUAAGCUGGGCAUGCGUCCAAUUAGCUAGUUGGUGAGGUAACGGCUCACCAAGGCAAUGAUUGGUAGGGGAACUGAGAGGUCAAUCCCCCACACUGGCACUGGGAUACGGGCCAGACUCCUACGGGAGGCAGCAGUAGGGAAUAUUGGGCAAUGGACGCAAGUCUGACCCAGCCACGCCGCGUGCAGGAUGAAGGCGUUAUGCGUUGUAAACUGCUUUUAUACAGGAAGAAACGACUCUUGCGAGAGGCACUGACGGUACUGUAUGAAUAAGGAUCGGCUAACUCCGUGCCAGCCGCCGCCGUAACAC
rnacentral:rRNA from 1 species